UACAGAGGGGGCAAGCGUUGUUCGGAAUUACUGGGCGUAAAGGGCGCGUAGGCGGCCUGUUAAGUCGAACGUGAAAUCCCCGGGCUCAACCCGGGAACUGGCGUCCGAUACUGGCAGGCUUGAAUUCGGGAGAGGGAUGCGGAAUUCCAGGUGUAGCGGUGAAAUGCGUAGAUAUCUGGAGGAACACCGGUGGCGAAGGCG
rnacentral:rRNA from 1 species